CAAGGGCGUAUAUUAAUGUUGUUGCAGUUAAAAAGCUCGUAGUUGGAUUUCUGGUGGGAGCGAUUGGUCUGCCCCGCGAGGGGUAUGUUACCGGUUCGUAUCCGGCCCUAUUCGGGUUGAUCGUGGCUGGCAUUAAUUUGUCGGUGCGGGAUGCCCGUCGUUUACUGUGAACAAAUUAGAGUGUUCAAAGCAAGGUGUUCUUGAAUACAUUAGCAUGGAAUAAUGAGAUAGGACUUUUGCCUCUUCUGUUGGUCAUGAGGCUCGAGUAAUGAUUAAUAGGGAUAGUUGGGGGCAUUAGUACUUAACUGUCAGAGGUGAAAUUCUCGGAUUUGUUAAAGACUAACUUAUGCGAAAGCAUUUGCCAAGGAUGUUUUCAUUA
rnacentral:rRNA from 1 species